rnacentral:rRNA from 1 species
CAGUCGCCGCGGGAAUACAGAGGAUGCAAGCGUUAUCCGGAAUGAUUGGGCGUAAAGUGUCUGUAGGUGGCUUUUCAAGUCCGCCGUCAAAUCCCAGGGCUCAACCCUGGACAGGUGGUGGAAACUACCAAGCUGGAGUAUGGUAGGGGCAGAGGGAAUUUCCGGUGGAGCGGUGAAAUGCGUUGAGAUCGGAAAGAACACCAACGGCGAAAACACUCUGCUGGGCCGACACUGACACUGAGAGACGAGAGCUAGGGGAGCAAAUGGGAUUAGAUACCCCAGUAGUCCCUGUCUCUUAUAA